AUACAGCAGCUAACAGGAUCAGAGACCGUCACACACUGCAGAGACACUCCCACCUGCAACUCUUCAUAUCUCUGUUACUACACUGACAGACAUAUAUGAGACUCUGACUUCCAGAACAUGGACAUUAUCAAACAUGGACGCCUCAGCUUUUUAAUCUCUCUGCUGUGGAUGAAAGGUCUUAUUGAUGGGAGUGAUGUCACCCAGACUGACAUACUGUGGGAAAAACAGGGUGACAGUGCAACAAUGAGCUGCAGACACACCAAGGGUGUCAGCUACUACCAGAUGUACUGGUACAGACAGCGGCCAGGAGAAUCAAUGAGACUAAUACUGUUCACUACUCCAGACUCUAAACCUGACUUUGAACCAGACUUCACAGAUAAGCACUUUUCAGCCACCAAGCCUGACUCUGAGAAUGGGACAUUCACAGUGAAGAAUCUGCAGCCAGAAGAUAAAGGCUUGUAUUUCUGUGCUGUGAGUAAACACAGUGAUACAGACUCAUUCAAUAGCUGUACAAAAACCCCAGUGCUCCGUUGGCACACCUCUAUCCCUCCAUCUCAUGAACUGUAG